AUGCAAAAAAAAAAAACCCUUUUGAAUGGAUUAAAGAUGCUUGGAGGAGUAGGGAAGAAUAGGUGAAGAAUCUGAAUGCUUUCAUGGCCAUCAGACUGAUUUUAACCUGGGUAGACUGUAUUCAGUUGUGAAAGAAUAAAAAAAGAAAACAGUGACAUCCUGGAAAUACAUUAUCAUGCAUCAUAUCUCAAAGGAUCUUUCGCGUGGUAGAUCCUCAUGGAAUAGCAGAUAAAGGAUUUUGUGCAUCGAUGCCCUGCAUAGUGAACUAGUUGACUGUGACCUGAGGAUGAAAUCUUUUGGGUUAUUCAGAGAGUUCUGUACAGAGUGCACAU